rnacentral:rRNA from 1 species
UACGUAGGAUGCAAGCGUUUGUCCGGAAUUAUUGGGCGUAAAGAGCGCGCAGGCGGUAUGACAAGUCAGAUGUGAAAGAGGCCGGCUUAACCGGCAAGGGUCAUUUGAAACUGUCAGACUAGAGUGCAGCAGAGGAUAGUGGAAUUCCCGGUGUAGUGGUGAAAUGCGUAGAUAUCGGGAGGAACACCAGUGGCGAAGGCGACUAUCUGGGCUGCAACUGACGCUGAGGUGCGAAAGCGUGGGGAGCAAACAGG